CCUGUCCUGCUCCGGUGUGGAAAGGGGGGGACGCGGGUCUUUCGUCGUCUUUUCAUCUUUCGUCGGGCUUAGAUCAGCCAUUUCCAAAGAAAAAGAUCCCAAAACAUGAAAGGCUCUGAGAAAAUGUUUGAUCCCAGGCAGUAAACUCGGCAACCUUGUCUCUGACCAGCGCUUUGGAAAAGGGACUCAAAGCUUAUCUGGCAGGUUGGUCUGUCUGCAUCAAGGACACAUCCUGUCACUCUGGUGAAGGUGAGCUGAAGGCAACUAAACUAUUCCCUCUGUUCCUUGCUGCACCAAUCAGUGGUUGAAUCAGCAGAGGAGAUGCCACAUCCUAGUCAGAGCACAGGAGUCUGUGCAAUGGGAUCUAUUCCAGAAUGCUCGGAUUUUCACAGGUGUUCCCCCCACAAUGGGAAGCAGCUGAUCAGUUAUCCCAGCAAGCACUGAAGGCUUGCUUGCCAGUAUGGAAGGAGACUCUCUCCAUACAGCCUUCCAUGGUGAUCUCCUGGGAGGGGAUGGUUCAGUCCUGUGGUACAGCAUCCCUGCAUACAGAAUUCAUGCCGUAGUCCUGAAACAUGGGGAUUUGCCUCUUCAGCCUGGGAACGGACUGGUGCAUCACUUCUUAAGGUGAUUUUAGUGCAGUG